rnacentral:lncRNA from 1 species
AAAAGUAAUAUUUUGUUUAGUGAAAGUAUGAAUCGUGACCUUUUUUACUGUAUUUAUGAGCUAAUUUGCAGGAUUGAGGUAGGCAAAUAUGUAUUUCAGAAAAAAGUGAGGUAGGUCAGUGUGAAAACAGGAAUUUAGGUAAAAAUAGAGGUAGGCAGGCAGGUAAGUGUGGAUUUUGUUCAACAAUUGUGUGGUUUCAAUCAAGAGUAAUAUUGUGUUUUGUGAAGGUAUGAAUUGUGACUUUGUUUACUGUCUAUAAGCUCAGUUGCAGUAUUGUUGAGUAUUAACAAUUGUUUUGUACUGCUAAUGGUUUACAAUUAGUGGUAACAAUUGUCAAAUUAACAAACUCUUAGAAAAUAUAUCAGCUCUAUAUGGUUUUUGGUGAGUCACAUCUUAAUGCCAUGGUGAUGUUAAAUUGUGAUGGGAGAUUUUGUUACGUGGUUUGCACAUGGAAUCAUUGAAUAAUUUUAAUUGCUGUCAUUCACACAUGUAACGUCCAACCUUAAUCAAACUUGAUAUGAUGGAUGAGGGUCCUGGGUCUCUAUACAAUCUCGAUAAGACUGGUAAGUAUACCGAUCUGAAAAAGGUAGGGGCUUUAUGUUUCUGGAAUGUUCACAGCGCCAUCACGUGGACACAAGAAGUAAUUUAAAAUAUCAAGAAUUUGCAAUGGAAGAGGACGUUUGUGUCAUUUGCCCACAACACCCAAUCUGCACCAAACUUCCUAGGAUUAACAUGACUCGCCAUAUAACAGUAAGUUGCACAUGCAACGUCCAAUCUGAAUCAAACUUGAUAUGACUGAUGAGGGUGGCCCACUCACUAUCUUAUUUCCACCAAAUGAAGAUGAUCCACAGUGACAACAUCAUGGUUACCAGUCAGGGUGAAGUGAAAAUUGGUGACUUGGGAGCAGCAGUCAGCUUCAGCGACAUAGACAGAAGAAGCGAACUCUUCCCAAGGACCAGGAGGAGGAGGAGAGGCAGAUUGGGAGUGAGAGCCACUCACCAGAACAACAUGGGGUGGCAUUUGGCCUGCUGACUAAAACUAACAGGAUGUUCACCUCUUCUGUCUACAGUCCUGUAGCCAAUGGCAGCAGCUCUUUCGUUUUCUUUUGCAUCAGUUUGCCGAGUGUAUACUCGGUGCGCCCCACCACUGGCACAAGAAGAAGGGCUGUAAACAAGGAGAGCUGAGAGUGACAAUUCUUCUCUGUGAUUCUGGUUCGCUUUUUUGGAUUGUAAUUAGCUUCAUGCUGCAAUACGUUGCUGCCAAUGUGAUGAAAUGUUUUCGGUCGGUGAGACAGCAGCUUAGACCGUCAUAAACUGUCCGUGUCAAAAGCUGUGAUUAGGGCAGCAGGAUCAGGAAGGUGACACCCCGGAACCAGACACAAGUAGACCAUUCAUGACUGACCAACACAAUUUCUGUUCUAUGGAAUUCGUGACAUGGUGGUUUUAAUGGAGGUAAGAGAGAAGCUGGGCAAUCAGACAGACGUCUGGAGUGCUGAGAUCAUUUCAGGAACAUCCCGUGGAGAGAACAUCUGGAGAGAGUGGCAUACGAGGACAACGAAGCUGAGGAGGGAAUAGAAAUCUGUUGAGGGCAGUGGUGGCCUAGCAGUUAAGGAAGCGGCCCCGUAAUCAGAAGGUUGUUGGUUCGAAUAGAGAACUGUGUAGUCAGAUCAGUCUUCUCAGUGCUUUACGUCCAUUUUUAUGUUGGUCAUGGUUGGAAAGGUAUGAAUCUUUUUUUAUUCUUUUACUGUUUUAUUUAAAAGCUUUGUGUCUGGAUUGUAGUAUUAACUUUUGUCUCUUUUAAUUAGUUUAAUUAGUUUAAUUAUGUGUUUUUUAAAGCUUAGUUGCAGGGUUGUGCUUUCUUAUUAACAACUGUGUCAAGCAAAAGCAACAUUUGUGUUUUUUUUUUUAUUUAUGAGCUCAUUUGCAGGGUUGAGGAAGGUAAAUAUAUAUUUCAGAAAAAAAUGUGAGGAGGGUCAGUGUGAAAACAGGAAUGCGUUUAGGGAAAUAUAGAGGUAUGCACAGAGGUAAAAUGGGUAUUUGUAGUAA